AAUGAACGCUGGCGGCAUGCCUAACACAUGCAAGUCGAACGGCCGCACGGGUGCUUGCACCUGGUGGCGAGUGGCGCACGGGUGAGUAAUACAUCGGAACAUGUCCCGUAGUGGGGGAGAGCCCGGCGAAAGCCGGAUUAAUACCGCAGACGAUUAACGGAAGAAACCGGGUGCCCAUCGGAACUCGCGCUUUAGGGUUGGCCGUAGGGGGAUUAGCUAGUUGGUGGGGUAAAGGCCUACCAAGGCGACGACCAGUAGCCGGUCUGUGAGGACGACCAGCCACACUGGGACUGAGACACGGCCCAGACUCCUACGGGAGGCAGCAGUAGGGAAUUUUGGGCAAUGGGCGAAAGCCUGAUCCAGCAAUGCCGCGUGUGUGAAGAAGGUCUUCGGGUUGUAAAGCACUUUUGUCCGGAAAGAAAUCCUUUGCCCUAAUACGGUCGGGGGAUGACGGUACCGGAAGAAUAAGCACCGGCUAACUACGUG
rnacentral:rRNA from 1 species